AUUUCUAUUGAGAGGUAUAUCCUUUGCAAAGGGUUGUGGAGUUUACGGAACUGUUGCUCAUCGGCGUCUCUUUGUGGCAUGUCCUUGCUCCCUUCUUUUCCCAGCCAUCUGGAAGACACUCUGCAACGAGGACCAUGAAAUGGGACCCGUGUGAGACAGUUUCUGGGCGUUUCUGGGAACACAGUUGGGCACCAAGAUCAGCGUUUCCUGGCAGUUUCGUGGGGGCAGAACGCACUGUUGUGGGAUGACAGGCCAUGAGUGAGCCGGGAUAUGGUCUUCGUCGGGUGGACCACGGGAGCCCAAACCAAGCCAAACUGCACAAGCACCUCAAAGCCACAGCCGCUGUCAUGGUCACUGACGUUCCAUUGGCCAAAGCAAGCCACAGGACCAAGGCCAACAUCACAGCGCAGGUGUGGUGGGAAGAGGUGUGUGUGUGUGUGUGAAGCUAAGCAAUGAUCCAAGCUUCAAUGACCUCACUGUACCUCCUGAAAUUGAAGACCUGGGCAACACAGAUGAAAAAGAAAAUGACAAAGACGAGGCACAUGGUCACCGAAUAGCAUCCGAUGUGCAAUCGACCCCAGGGUCUUGCCUGUGUGCUAUUAAAGAACCGCCCAUCUUCUUGAAGCCACAGUUGUGCUGGACAGUGAAUCAGGGGCCCUGCUCUCUGCUUCUCCCUGCUGUCAGGACACAGCCCGAUGGGAAAGCAGCUCAGCUCAGUCAACAAAAAGGCACGAGUACUUACAUACGGGACAGAGGAGGGUGGUGCAGACCCUGCCCGACACCAGUGAAGGGGCGAGUGGACUCCCUCGGUGAGACUGGUGAGGAUGUGGUCAUGAUGCUAUCCAGCACCAGGAAGACCCCUUCGCUCCCCAGGGAAUCCCCACUCUGAGACCGGGGGCUGCCACUCCCAUCAUGUCCUGGGUUCCUUCCUCUUCCGAGGGCAUCCAGAGGACAGGCACCUUCUGCUGGGGAUGUUUCCUAAAUCCUCAACAUCUGGAAGGAGCUGCCACAAAGGCCCCCUUUGUGUAGCCAGGGAAAUGGGCAAUAAAAUAGCGCCAGACCCCGCAAAGCUGGGCAAGGAGGCGCACGGUCCAGGGCCCUGGGAGUGGACACGGUGAGGUCGCGGAGAGGUGUGUCCGGAGGCACAGGUCAAUAAAUCACAGCAUCGCUUAUCUAGUGCUUCCUGUGUGCCGGAGGCUGCUCAAGGGCUGUGUCCACAGUGUCUCGUUGACAGGAAGGUUGGCAAGGUGGUCACAGCAAAGGGGGACGGUGCCUCUGAAAUCACAGAGAUGUGGGGACUGCAGAGGACAAAGCAUGGGCAGAAGAUAGAGGUAUCAAAGUAACGUCUGCACAGAGUCGCCUGGCUGCCUCUUUCUAUGUUAACCACCAACCUUCAGCACCCCGAAAGAACCAUCUGGAACCCUCUAUGGUAAAAUGGGUCAUCUCAAGUCCUGCAGAGAGUGAUAUGUAGAGGUCCCCAGUGAAGUCACACCUUUGUCCCUGUGUCCUACAGUGAGGUUUACCAGUUGUCAGGGACCCUCCCACCCCACCCCCGUAGGCAGAGUGUUCCGCGAAGCUUCACUUGCAUUUCAGAAAAGUCCCUACUAGGAAAGGGAGAGAUGGGAGUAAGAACAUGGUGGGUUUGGGGGAAGAGAAGAAAGGAUCCCGGGGGUAAAGACACUCCAGGGAGCAGAAGGACCAACACUACCCCCGGUUUUCAUUGUCAUCCUUGGAGAGAGAGAAAAAAAAUGGCUACCUCUGUGACAUAAGAUCAGUAGUCCACAGGCAGACUUCUAUGGCAACGAGAGCUUUGGAAAGUAAAAGUGCAACAGCAGAAAAGAAAAAGAAAAAACCAGUAGUGGAGCUGGAACGUGGGGUCAAGCAGGCCACGGACAGAAAGAGGUAAAUGAAGAGGAAUGAUGAGAAAGGGGGUCCAACUGGGAGGUCUGAGAUCCUACAGAUAAGGAUCCCCAAAGAUAAGCUGAAAAAAGGGCGAGGGGAAGAAAUUGUGAAACAUAAUACAAGGAAAGGAACCUGGGUUUCCAGGUUACACGGGCCGUGCUGGCCCAGUCCAGUCAACGAAGCAGCGUCCCACCAGCACCUGUGCCCUGAGAUCUCCUCAUGCCGCCUUCCUGUCCUCAGCGGGCAGGUACCCCACAUCAUUCUGACUCACCCUCUGUCUCCUUUUUCUGCUUAGAAGGGCCUUUGUGGUUAUCUUGGUCCAAGGGGGAAAUCCAGGGUCCUCUUAUUUUGAGGUCAGCCGGUGAACAACCUGAAUUCCUCGGCCCUCUCCAUCCCUCUCUGCCAGGCACCAAGGUGUCCAGGUGCUGGGGAUUCGGUGGCAGACAUCUUCAUCUUCUUCAGGAAGCCCUUGUUCUGCAGGUUGCAACUUUGCAUAAAAUCUGGGUCAUCUCCUUGAGGAUCAAAGGGAGAGUGGAUGUUAGGAAGGAUCGCGGAGUAGACAGGAGGAGGGAGGGCAGGGCCCCUGGAGCCACCUAGAGCCAUGCUCCCAUCCCAGGCUGAGCCUCUGUAUCACCACCAGGGAAAGAAUCCUGGCUCGGGCCAAGCCACCUUGGGGGAGCUUCUGUUCCAAGAAGUCAAAUGAGGCCUAAGGAAACUCUCACUUUUUAAGGUACGAAGUUAACAAUAUUUGAACUCAAAACGGGAAGAGAUACCAGGCAAGCACAGAGUUGGGAAACAACCACCAACCUCACCUGAGAUAUCUGUGGAUUUAAAGAACUCUGAACUUAAAGAAAUCACCUUGGGGCGCAUCUUCAGAGAGAGGGAAAGAAGAGGCACAUCACGACGGCCUGUCUCUAGAAUCUCAUGGUGCGUUGGACUCAUUAAGCUUUGGAAAUCUUUUACUUAAUAAGAAAUACGGUUUUUCAUUUUAAGAUGACAGACACGGUUCGGAGCGUCUGAAGAAACCCAUCCGAAGGUACAAGGAAAAUGCCUGGCGACGCGACCCCUGGCUGUGUUGUGGGGUGACAGGGUCAGCCUGGGAGAGUCCAAGGGACCUUCCCCGUGAGUGUGCCCAAGGCCCUUCCUGAGCUACAAAGUUCAUGGCCAGAAUCCCAUUUUCCAUCCCUCAUAAGACCCUGCUCUUAGGAACAGAGCUUGGAAGGAAGUGCGCAGGACAUUCCUGGGGCCGCAUCUGCUCCCCGAAGCCCCGCCGCCCCGCCCUGGGGAACACAGCUGAGAUCCUUAUCGCCCCCAGCUCUGGCACACUGAGCGUGUGAUACACCUGUCUCCACCAUCAGGCAAAUGAGUGGGUUCACAGGCAGAGGCCUGCCCUGCCAAACAAUGCUCCCCUUUGUCCCCGCCCAGAGCUCAGGAGCCGCAAGGAAGCCACAUCCGUCAGCACCUGUCAGGGCCCUUGAAGCACACAAUGCCUGCGGUGACCCCCACCCCGAGCCGAGCCCCAGGCUUCCCGCAGGCUGCUCUAACUGACACGCAACGUGUCAGUCACCUUCUGAAAGCCAGGGGUGGGGCCGUGGAAGGGGGGCACUGGGCCUGCCUCCCAGAAGCCAACCAGAGCCAGAGACGGUGCUGUGAAACCCUGACACAUCCUUUCUUAAACCCAGCCCCAAAGAGCACAGCACGAAGAAAAAUCAUCUCCCUCAUCGCUAGAGAUGUAGAACAUUUUUUCAUCUAUUUAUUGACUGAUGGUAUAUCCUCUUCUGAGAAGUGGCUGUUCAGUUCCUUGGCCCAUUUAUUGAUUGUGUUCUUUGGGUGUUUUGUUAUUGUUGUUGUUUUUGGAGUUAAGAUUUUUGAGUUCUUUAUAUAUCCUAGAGAUGAGUGCUCUAUCUGAGGUGCAUGUGGUAAAAAUGUGCUCCCAAGAUACAGGCUCUCUAUUCACCUCACUGAUUGUUUCUUUUGCUGAGAAGAAGCUUUUUUGUUUGAAUCCAUCCCAUUUAUUGAUUCUUGAUUUUAAUUUUUGUGCUAGAGGAGUCAGAAUGGCAGCUAUUAAGAAUGUGAACAACAAUAAGUGUUGGCGAAGAUAUUGGGACACUCAUACACUGCUGGUGGGACUGCAAAUUAGUGCAGCCAAUGUGGAAAGCGGUAUGGAGAUUCCUUGGAAAACUGGGAAUGGAACCACCACUUGAUCCAGUUAUCCCACUCCUCAGUCAAUACCCAAAGACACAAACAACAUACUACAGGGACACAGCCACAUCAAUGUUUAUUGCAGCACAAUUCACAAUAGCUAAACUGUGCAGCCAACCUAGAUGCCCAUCAGUAUAUGAAUGAUAAAGAAAAUGUUACACACACACACACACACACACAAUGGAAUACUAUUCAGAAUUAAAAGAGAAUAAAAUCAUGGCAUUUGCAGGUAAAUGGAUGGAGCUGGAGAAUAUAAUGCUAAGUGAUGUAAGCCAGUCCCCCCAAAACCAAAUGCUGAAUGUUUUCUCAAUAAAAGGAGGCUGAUUCAUAGUGGGUACGGAGGGGAGCGUGGGAGGAAUAGAUGAACUCUA